rnacentral:rRNA from 1 species
CCUACGGGUGGCUGCAGUGGGGAAUAUUGGACAAUGGGGGCAACCCUGAUCCAGCCAUGCCGCGUGUGUGAAGAAGGCCCUCGGGUUGUAAAGCACUUUCAGUGAGGAAGAACGCCUGGUGGUUAAUACCCAUCAGGAAAGACAUCACUCACAGAAGAAGCACCGGCUAACUCCGUGCCAGCAUCCGCGGUAAUACGGAGGGUGCGAGCGUUAAUCGGAAUUACUGGGCGUAAAGCGCGCGUAGGUGGCUUGAUAAGCCGGUUGUGAAAGCCCCGGGCUCAACCUGGGAACGGCAUCCGGAACUGUCAAGCUAGAGUGCAGGAGAGGAAGGUAGAAUUCCCGGUGUAGCGGUGAAAUGCGUAGAGAUCGGGAGGAAUACCAGUGGCGAAGGCGGCCUUCUGGACUGACACUGACACUGAGGUGCGAAAGCGUGGGUAGCAAACAGGAUUAGAUACCCUGGUAGUC